UACGUAGGGUGCGAGCGUUAAUCGGAAUUACUGGGCGUAAAGCGUGCGCAGGCGGUUGGUUAAGUCUGAUGUGAAAGCCCCGGGCUCAACUUGGGAACUGCAUUGGAAACUGGCCAGCUGGAGUGUGGCAGAGGGGGGUGGAAUUCCGCGUGUAGCAGUGAAAUGCGUAGAGAUGUGGAGGAACACCGGUGGCGAAGGCGGCCCGCUGGGCAGGAAGACGGGGCAACCCGGUCGGCUGACACUGGAGGCGUGACAGCGUGGGGAGCAAACAGG
rnacentral:rRNA from 1 species